rnacentral:pre_miRNA from 1 species
CGGGGGAGGUCGGAUCCUGGGCUGUGUCCUGGCUCCCUGUGCUCCCGGGCCUGCGCUGUUGGAUUCCCGCAUCCUGCCGUGCAGCCCUCU